rnacentral:rRNA from 1 species
UACGAAGGGGGCUAGCGUUGCUCGGAAUUACUGGGCGUAAAGCGCACGUAGGCGGCUUGUUAAGUCGGAGGUGAAAUCCUGGAGCUCAACUCCAGAACUGCCUUCGAUACUGGCGAGCUCGAGUCCGGGAGAGGGUGAGUGGAACUGCGAGUGUAGAGGUGAAAUUCGUAGAUAUUCGCAAGAACACCAGUGGCGAAGGCGGCUCACUGGCCCGGUACUGACGCUGAGGUGCGAAAGCGUGGGGAGCAAACAGG